AGGUUGUUGGGACAUGGCUAAUAGAGAAGGGGCAUGGCUCUAUUGAUCCAUUGUAUCAGGAGAAUUCUGUUCUAAGUUAGCAUGAGUAGGCCUCAGUUAGCAUGAGUUUGGUGUAGCAUAGUGGAAAAGUACUGAGCGGUUGCUCUCUGGUUCAGCUGAGCGUUUAGAUAAACAAGCUGGGGAAUUAUCUCUAGCAGGGUGAGGAGGUUGCAUUCCAGAGAAACCACAAGAAGGUUGAGCUCAUUAUGUAUACUAUCCAAUCAAUAGAAGACGAGUAGGCAUAAUUAUUGUAUACUAUCCAAUUAAUAGAAGACGAGUAGGCAUAAUUACUGUAUACUAUCCAAUUAAUAGGUGACGAGUAUGCAUAAUUAUUGUAAGUCUUAUAUAAACCAGCUUAGUGUCUCAAUAAAGGAGAGGUAUGCUUAUCACUCAUAUUGGGUCGACCGCAUUCCUUCCUCCGUCCGCUCGGGUCUGGAACUCUGAUGGAAUUUUUCUCUCGGCAAAAGGUUUAUGUCCUUGAUUCAGUGCUUGCAGACAAAAGAAAAAAAACAACAAAAAAAACCAAACAGGAUUCCUGGAAUAAGACUCAGAACAGCCUGUAAUUUUGACAAGAUAUUACCAAGCUCUACCUGGCAAAAGUAAGGAGAUACAGUUAAGGGGAAAAACAUAAGUCUGUGCGAGUGCCUUUACCCUCCUCCCUGCCCCAUAUCUCUGAGGACUGUGAAGCAGAAAUUAAAAUCAUUGAUGUCACAGGAGUCUAUGCAUAUAGUCAUUGCUGACCUCACCAUGAUGCUAAGAAACAGCGGUUUUGCAUAAAUUAAGCUGAAACCCAUCAUGAGACCCAUCUUCAAGAUAUAUGCUACGCACAGUUGCAACUGAAGCAAGUUGGCAUCAGAAGAUAAAGCCAUACAGUACACUGUCCUACAAACAGAGAAGUACAAAUGAGCAUGGGCAGAACUACUCAUCUAAGUGAUCAAUUUCCCUAAUUUUUACAGUGUCUUUUCACUGGUCGAGCACCUCAGGAAGUCUACAGCAGCUGCAAAAUUGAGCCAAAAAUUCAACUAGAGACAGUCCUGACUGAAGCUGCUUCAGGUUUAUUAACUUCUUUUGUAGCUUGCUAGAGGUACAGUGGAGAGGGCGAGCUGUUAUUAUUAGAGAAAUAAACAAACUCCUUUUAUUUUUUUUUUUCUUUUUCCGUGUUUUCAUUUUCCAAAUCUGAGGAAACUGAGAAGAAAAAAAAACACAGCCAAAACCUAAGUUCCCCUUAACACUCCUUCUUACCCAAAAGAAAGAUACUUCUACUGGAAAUACAUUCAGCAGAAAUGAAAAUUCCUUUGAGCAUAGUGAAAACAAAGAUGCAAAUAAACUAUUCCAGAAUAAUUCAAAAAAGAAACUCAAGAGAAAAUAUUCCUUAUGGCAAGGUUAUCUACCUUUUGGAGUUGCCUGUAAUUUGAAACAUCGUUAAAGCAGUAUGCAUCAAGAGUGAACUGGUAGAGAUGAAUGGACUGGAAGAUCUCAUACAUAUUUUUGAGUCUCCAUGGAAAAAUAUUAACAUUGUGAUUGUAGGUACAUGUAUAAACAGGUUUUUGUUGUGGUGGUCUUUUUUUCUUUGAUUUUUCGGGUUUUGUUUUAAAUAUACACUCUAGAAUGAGGGGAAAUACAGAAAAUAAUAGAGAUUUAUAGAGUUCCUCACUAUAUUUUUAAACCAGAAAUUCUGGCUUAGCACCUAUGGCUGCUUAUUGUGAGGCAUACAUAAUCAAGUCUUUCAAACUCUCUUUCUGGACCUCACAAUAGCUGAAUGAAAAGUUAAACUAACUGGAAAGUCAGAGGCGGGUUUAAUAAGCAGAACAGAUUUUUUUAUUAUCAUUGUGUUUAGGAAUUUCCCAUAGUCUGAAUUAUUUUCAUCUGCUGGUUUGUAAAAAUGAUACAUUUGCUAAUUGAUCUAUUGUCUCAAUGCUUGCCUAUCAAAGCCUAUUCAGUCACAGGGAGAUUGAGGAUAGAUACACGCUUGAAACCACUUAGAGAUGUGAAUUGGUGAGAGCUGAAUGGGUUUUAUUUUUUUUUUUAUUUCUUAAUUUUCUAUUCCAGCUCUUUGAUACUGAAUUGAUACUGAAUCUCUUGCAACAGUGCUUUGUUUGUAGUACUUUGAUUUUAGUGUAUCCUCCAGAUAUACAGGUCAUGUUUCAUUAUAAAGGGAACCAAGCCAAGAGCUAUAUAGAAAGUUGACUUUCAACAAGAUUGUAAAUCAGGUACAGGUGCCUAUCUGACUUUUAAAUAUAAACACAGAAAGACUCAUAAUGCAUAAAUCUUUCAAAAUUGUAACCCCCACCUUAAAGAACCUCAUGACACUACUCUGUGUAUAGCAUUGAGAUCACAAAGAUCAUGACUGCAGCACUUAAUGUCUAAAGUAAUUAAAAUCCUCACAUAAUUCACGUCAAACACCACAUACAGGUUUUACUAUGGGUCUAUACACUAUCUAAAAUUAGAAAAUCUACUUCAUUUUACCCUGGCAUGCUGUGUAAUCAGGAACUUUCAGUAAAAAAAAAUAAAAAAUAAUAAUGCGUGCAUAGAACCCAAGUUCUUGUAAUGAGAAUGAUGAGUAUGAGCACUGGAGGUGUUAUGACUGUAAAAGCUUUUCAUUUAUUUUGCUUUUAAAGGGUAAGUGAUGUGAUUGGUGAACCUACUGUCUGCCUCUCCAUGCCUAGGUGGUUUUUGUUUGUUUUGUUUUGUGGUGGUUUUUUGUUUAUUUUUAAUAUUUAUAUUGCAAUAAAGUUUUAUUUUAUAAUUACUUUU